UACGUAGGGUGCGAGCGUUAAUCGGAAUUACUGGGCGUAAAGUGUGCGCAGGCGGCAGAGCAAGUCGAGUGUGAAAGCCCCGGGCUUAACUUGGGAAUUGCGCUCGAAACUACUUUGCUGGAGUGUGGCAGAGGAAGGUGGAAUUCCACGUGUAGCGGUGAAAUGCGUAGAGAUGUGGAGGAACACCGAUGGCGAAGGCAGCCUCCUGGGCCAGCACUGACGCUCAUGCACGAAAGCGUGGGGAGCAAACAGG
rnacentral:rRNA from 1 species